GGUCCCCUAGUUCAAUGGAUAGAAUUUCAGAUUCCGGUUCUGACGAUAUGGGUUCGAAUCCCGUGGGGAUCA
rnacentral:tRNA from 1 species